rnacentral:rRNA from 1 species
AGCAGUAGCCGCGGGAAUACAGAGGGUGCGAGCGUUAAUCGGAUUUACUGGGCGUAAAGCGUGCGUAUGCGGCUUUUUAAGUCGGAUGUGAAAUCCCUGAGCUUAACUUAGGAAUUGCAUUCGAUACUGGGAAGCUAGAGUAUGGGAGAGGAUGGUAGAAUUCCAGGUGUAGCGGUGAAAUGCGUAGAGAUCUGGAGGAAUACCGAUGGCGAAGGCAGCCAUCUGGCCUAAUACUGACGCUGAGGUACGAAAGCAUGGGGAGCAAACAGGAUUAGAUACCCCCGUAGUCCCUGUCUCUUAUAA